GGGCAUCCUGCUGCCUCGAACUGCAAGGAGUGUCACACGUCAUCGUUGGAAAUCUGAGCAACACCGUCGGCUACCAAGUCCGUGUCACGAAACAGCUGCUAACGAACUGCUGACGUAUAUUCGCCUGUACAGUGGGCAUCCUGAUACGUCGAACUGCAAGGAGUGUCACACGUCAUCGUUGGAAAUCUGAGCAACACCGUCGGCUACCAAGUCCGUGUCACGAAACAGCUGCUAACAAACUGCUGAUAUAUAUUCGCCGAUACAGUAGGCAUCCUGCUGCGUCGAACUGCAAGGAGUGUCACACGUCAUCGUUGGAAAUCUGAGCAACACCGUCGGCUACCAAGUCCGUGUCACGAAACAGCUGCUAACAAACUGCUGAUAUAUAUUCGCCGAUACAGUAGGCAUCCUGCUGCGUCGAACUGCAAGGAGUGUCACACGUCAUCGUUGGAAAUCUGAGCAACACCGUCGGCUACCAAGUCCGUGUCACGAAACAGCUGCUAACAAACUGCUGAUAUAUAUUCGCCGAUACAGUAGGCAUCCU
rnacentral:lncRNA from 1 species